AAAAUAUUCAUUUCCUGCUUCUCUCUCCUCCCUAUUCUCUGGUUACUGUAACCUAACUCCAAUUUCCCGCUUAUCUCUCUUCCCCUCUCUGGUUUCUCUCCUUCCCCUCUCUGGUUCUUCUCCGGGCGCGAAAUUCAGACUCACACCACUCACUGCACACACCGCACAGGCGCACAACUUUUCCCCCACCGCCGCGUCACCGUUGCUGUCUCCUACCGCCGAGUUGCCGCUGUUGUCUCGCACCGCCGAGUUGCCGAUGUUGUUCCCCCACCGCCGCGUCGCUCCUCCUUAUCUCUCUUAAUAAAGGAGGAAUGGGAUUUGGCACUUAUAAAUGUAGUCACAGUAGCAGCAUGCAAUUUAGUAGUUGUUUGGUCACUUGCUCCAUGUUGGUUAUUUGCCAACACCUUCAGCUCUGGUCUGCAGAAUAGACUGUAGAAGCUCCCACACUACGUAUUUGAAGCAAGUUAAUGUUAUAUGGAAUUUGAUCUACAGAAAAAAUUCAGUCUCUUAUGUACAAGGCUGUACAGAUUAGUUUAGUCGGAUUUACAGCAGGGGCACUCCAAAGUGUCAUGUUGAAUAUUUGUACUAAAGGGAAAGACAGAAGAUUUUGAUGUUCAAUUGAACAAUAAUCAAUCAGAUUACUUCAGAGCUCUUUACAUGGUGGGUGAUAAUCCAAUUAAAGGUGCAAGACAUGUUCGAGCUGAAUUUUUCUGCAAUGGUAUUGGGCACUUAUGCCUUGACAGAAUCAAUUUUUCAGUAGUGUUAUGUGCUCAUACAACAUAGUGAAUGGAAUUCCAACUUGUGCUGACGCCAAUCUUCUUAAAGGAACUGUCAGAGAGCAAUGGGGUUUAGAUGGGUUUGUACACUUUUUCAUGUACCUUUUUAUGAUGUCUAACAAAUAAGUAUAUUUUGUUUGUUACUACAUAGUUUGUAUAUUUAUCUUUAUUUCAUUCGUUAAUACAUGAAAUUUAGAACGUGCAUGUGUAUACUAACGUUUUCCUUGAAUUAUAGUUAUGUUGUCACUGACUGUGAUUCUAUCCAAGUGUUGUAUGAGUCUAUCAAUUACACAACUACACCAGAGGAUGCAGUUGCCGAUGCAUUGAAAGAAGGAGUUAACAUGAAUUGUGGAGAUUAUCUACGUAAGUACACGGUGAGAGCAGUUAACCAGAGAAAGGUGUCGGAAUCAGUUGUAGACCAGGCCUUGAUAUACAACUACGUAGUCCUCAUGCGACCUGGGUUCUUUGAUGGGAAUCCCAAAACGCACCCCUUUGGAAAACUAAGGCCGUCUGAUGUAUGUGCAGAAGAUCACAAAAAGUUGGCCCUUGAUGCAGCAAAGCAAGGGAUAAUGUUUGGACAUCACAAUCCAAAGUCACAAAGAAGCAAAAGGCUUGUAUCGGAAACCAUUUCCUUAGUUUGACAAUCUUGAAGAAGUCUUUGCAAAGGACAGAGCAACUGGAAUGAAGUCUGCAUUGCCACUUGACAGAUAUGAUCAAGAGAGUGUUCAAGAAACCACCCAAGAAGCUACAUCUAUAAAGCCAAAUGAAGUUGAGGUGUCAAGGGAGGUGUCUAAUGAAGUAUCUACUGAAGUGUCUGGAACUAGUAAAAGGAGUAUAGACGAGGGCUCAUCUAAGCAACCAACUAAAAAGAAAUUGCGAACGACCAACAAAGAGAUUCAAAAUGUUCAAAAAAAUCUUGAAUUAAUGAUGGGAAAGAUGCUGGAGAAUAGCAAUACUCAGAUUGACAAGUUGGUAAGUGUUCUUGAAGCCCUCAAAAAUGUUAAGAUUGGUUUACGUGAAGAGUUGGGGAAAGUUCCUGGUAUUUCAAGGCUCAAUGCUCUUUCUUUGUGUGUUAAGAUGACUGAAGAUGAGAUUGUUAUUUUCCGAGACUUGGUUGAUGACGAUGAGAAAUAUGAUUUCCUAUCAAUCAUUUUAGAAAAAUCUUAAGAGGUUUAUAUGUUGGAUAAUUUUGAUCUUAGACAUUGAGUUUGUAUUUAAUUUGACUUUUUGAUUGUGUCCUGAACUGUGUGGGACUGUGAGUAAGCAGCAGGCUGCCCCUGCAUGUUGUAAUACAGAGUUGAUUGCAUCCCAGGAUGAUCCCUGUGGUUCUGAAUCCAAACUGUUUGUUAUACAGAGCAAUUAUUUCCCUCAUACCAAUCCGAAUAUUUUUUUAAGCCCAUUAUUUGUUACCCUCAUAACAAACCCAUGAAAUUUUUAUGCCCAGUAAAUAUUUCCCCCUAGAUUAAUACUCAAGUAACUGUUGCAGCCUAAUCAUUAUCCCCUUAACCAUUACACUAAAUCCAGGCGGUCCCUGAGGAUGAGAUACAACAAGGAUGGUUGCAUGUUGUUAAGACU